rnacentral:lncRNA from 1 species
CGGUAAAAGAUCGACUCCGGAUGGCAAAAGAAUGACUCCGAUCAGCAAAAGACCGACUCUGAUCGGUAAAUAUCGACUCUAGUUGGAUAACAUCGACUGAUAACAUCGAUUUCGAUCGAUUGAGCACCGACUCCAGUCCGUCAAAGUUAAUCAGUCAAUCAAUUAUUCGAGUCAAGAAAGAAAAGGUAAGUACUCAACACUUAGAAAAAACUUACUUUCAUUGCUGUGAAAGUCAAGGGGAUUAUAAAAAGCAGACUAAGGUCCAAAUACAAAAAUAAAAGAAAAGCUACACUGACUCCCUUUCGUUGACUCCAUCGGCUAUCUCUUCAGUCGCUGUCGCUACAUCGGUCUCUUGGGCUUCGACGGCUGGCUCUUCCUCAACAGAUGCUAGAACUACCUCAGCAAUAGGCACGACUUCUUCUUCAAUGGCUAGGGCAAUGUCUUCCGAAGCCUCAACUUGAAUGCUGCUC